GGUCGUUUAGCUCAGUCGUUAGAGCAUCGUGCUAAUAACGCGAGGGUCGCAGGUUCGAGCCCUGC
rnacentral:tRNA from 1 species